CUGUGCAAAGGUAGCAUAAUCAUUAGCUUUUUAAUUGAAGGCUUGUAUGAAGGGUCUGACAAAGAAAAGGCUGUCUUUAAUUUUAUUUUUGAAUUUAACUUUUAAGUGAAAAGGCUUAAAUAUAUUUAAGGGACGAUAAGACCCUAUAAAUCUUUAUAUUAAAUUAUGUUUUUGGAGUUUAAUGAGAUUGUCUAGAUUUCAAAUAAAAUAAUAAAUAUUUUGUUGGGGUGAUGAGAAUAUAAAAUUAACUGUUCUUAAAAAAAAACAAAGUUGUUUGUUUACUAAUAAUAGAUCCUUUUUUGAAGAUUAAGAGUUUAAGUUACUUUAGGGAUAACAGCGUUAUUUUUUUUGAGAGUUCUUAUCGAAAAAAAAGUUUGCGACCUCGAUGUUGAAUUAAAAAUUCUUUACGGUGUAGAAGUUGUAAAAGAGAGUCUGUUCGACUUUUGAAAUUUU
rnacentral:rRNA from 1 species